rnacentral:tRNA from 1 species
GUGGGUAUGGCUCAGUUGGAGAGCGCAUGCUUAGUGUGCACGAGGUCCUGGGUUCAAUCCCCAGUACUUCCA